rnacentral:rRNA from 1 species
AUGAAGAAAGGGACUACGCCGAGCCAUGAAAACAUUCUCCCACCUGAUAUUCCUGCUACAUGGGAAGCGAUGGAGAAGCUAUACGACUCUGGCAAAGCUCGAGCAAUUGGUGUGAGUAGCUUCUCUUGCAAGAAGAUUGAGGAUUUGCUUGCCAUUGCACGUGUGCCUCCAGCAGUCAACCAGGUUGAAUGUCAUCUGAUUUGGCAGCAAGACAAGCUCCAAAAACUAUGCCAUUCGAGGGGUGUUCAUCUUUCUGCAUUUUCGCCAUUAGGUUCGCCUGGAUCAUCUCUACCUGGGGUCAGUGGGGCUAUCGUCCUUAGCAAUCCUAUUGUCAUCUCUGUUGCUGAGAAGUUGCAGAAAACGCCUGCUCAGGUUGCCUUACGCUGGUGUCUUCAAAUGGGUCAGAGUGUACUUCCAAAAAGCACCAAUGAAGCAAGGAUUAAGGAGAACUUUGACAUAUUUGAGUGGUCCAUUCCUGAAGAUUUAAUGGCAAAGUUCUCCGAAAUCAAACAGGCAAGGUUGAUGAAAGGGGAAUUUGCGGUUCACCCUCUAAGCGUUUACAAAACCUUGGAGGACCUUUGGGAUGGCGAAAUUUAA